rnacentral:tRNA from 1 species
CCUGGUAGCUCAGAUGGUAAAGAACCUGCCUGCAAUGCAGGAGAUCCAGGUUUGAUCCCUGGGUCAGGA